UCCCGCCGGCCACGGGCUGUCCGCAGGUCCGCGCCCGGCCCUGAACGCCUCCCCGAGCCACGCCCUGGGCGGGCGCCGUGUUUUCAGCAGCCGGCCUCCCUAGACGGCGGGCGACCAAGGCGGCGGCGGCGGCGCGGCUCUAGGGCACGAGGAGCCAACCUGGCAACGAGAUGAUGUGGAUCCUGGCUCAGUUCAGGAGCCUGGGUUCUCAUCACGGAUGUGCUGGGCCACCCUGGGCAAGGCACGCCCCACCCUGAGACUCUAGGCCCCCACGGGGUGGGGUGUGCAAUCCCUGAGAGGCCACCCACUCUGGACACCCGCUGAAUUCCGGACCUGUGUGCACUGGGGCAGCACAGCGGCCCAGCCCCUCCCCCCUGGAUGCCACCCCGUCCUCAUUGUAAUUUAAGAAAGGGGCCUCUGUCCUCACCGCCCUUCAUGGCCUUCCUGCCUGGGCAGAGACCCAACCAAGAUGAUGAGCCGGGGACUGGGACACAGGCGCUGGAGGGUGACCGUGCGCACAGGCGUCUGCUGCCCCCUGGCGGGCACAGAGGACACUAUCGCCACCUGGCUGCCCCGCCGGACCGGGAGGCUUGGGAAUGGUCACAUCCAGAGACACCUGGCUGCUGUGCGGUCCUGAGCUAGUCACACCCCACACACACGUUCCCAGCUUCCCAUGUUGGACACUGGGGACAUGUGUAUGUCACAGCGUCCUUAGGAGGCUCUGCAGACAGGCUGGAUAGGGAUGGGUGGAUGGAUGGAAACUUGGCGGAGACUCUCUCCCCUGACGCUUGGUGUGGGUGACGAGUCUAGGGUCACCCUAGACCAUACCAACUCAAAGCAUGGGCCAGAAAGAGGGGGCAUUUGUGCAGAAAACCUUCCUGCAAUGCUCAUGCGCUGGGACUCAGAGCUGGUUGCCAGGUCUGCCUGUAGCACACCUGGAGGGGAGGGGACAGCUCCCGUCACAUCCUAUGGAGGACAUGGUGCCCUGGAGACGCGCUCACAGACAAGGAAAUGGUCCCCUCGAAGCUGCACCUCCAUUUGGCCUGCCUUUAGCCCAGCCUGUGGUGGCUUCAGUGGGAGGGAGAGGCUCUGUGCUAAGCACCAGGGCAGCCCACAGGAGAGGCGGGGAACUGGGCCCCCAGUCUGGAGGGCAAGCAUUGCCAUUACUGGCCACAUACCCUAAAGUGGCAAAGGAGGGUCACAGUGCUCUCUCCCCACCUCACCCACACACCAUUCCCACCCCCACCCCCGCCCCAGCCUAUUUUUUGGCAGCCAGCAAGGACUCAGUGGAACUUGGGUGAGACCCUGUCACUCUCCUGGGCAAAGAGGGGCCCUUUGAUUUACACCUCAUUGGAGGUAAAAGCAAAUUCCUUCCCUAGAAAAUCCCCCAUGAUAUGCCCCCUCCCAGGAUGACUUCAUUUCCUACAGCUCUCCUAGCGGGCUCACCCAGCAUGCUGCUACCCCAGGGCCUUUCCACUGGCCAUCUCUCUGCCUGGGACUCCUGCCCUCACAUCCUCUGCUGACCCUCUCCUCCAUACCUGACUUGCUUAGUCUCAUCCCUCUAGACCAUGUCAGCUCUGGGGCAGCAGGGACCACUCUGUCCUGUCCUCGGUUCACACCCAGCACUGCAGACGGCUCAGCCUGUGGUAGCGGCUAACAACAACAACAACAAAAAGUUAUUGAACGAAGCACCAAAUGAAUAAACCAACAACUUGGCCAA